rnacentral:pre_miRNA from 1 species
UGUUAAAAAUUUUAUCCAUUUGUAUUAUUAAAAAUUAGAUAGUCACGUGUACCUCAUAUUGAUAUAUAAAGAUCACUUUUUAACAAUAUAAAUUGAUAAAAUCUUUAAUA